rnacentral:sRNA from 1 species
GGGUUUCACCGUGUUAGCCAGGAUGGUCUCAAUCUGACCUUGUGAUCCACCCGCCUCGGCCUCCCAAAGUACUGGGAUUACAGGCAUGGGCCACCGCACCCGGCCCUUAGUUAAUUUCUGAACCAGGAAAUUGGACUCUGGGGUCUGUAGGAAACGACUGGGGAUUCAGCAACCUGCCAAAUUGAGCCUUGGAGCAGCUCUGAGAUGUUAGCUGUGGAGAAGGAGGCCCCUGCUUCCUGGGGCCCAUUGUCCGUUCCCAAAAGUGCUGAGUGUUGUGGGCUCUUCAAGAGCUGCGGUCAACACCAGCUCCAGGCCUCGGGCUGGAGGCCUCUUCAGCAAGUGCCGCAGGGAGGCCCUGGGUGGGUGAGCCGGGAGGUUGAAUUGCUUAGCAGCUCUCUAUCCAUUGCUGCGGUCAUUAGCCAUGGCGAGGGUCACGGGGGCUGUAACGGGGCAAGCCUCCCGGGUUCCAGUUGCCAUCCUCACCCCUCUGGGCUCUUUCCUCCCUGGCUCUGCUGCAGCCGGAGCGGUUGCAGGGCACACAUUACUCGGUGCAGUCGGACAUCUGGAGCAUGGGCCUGUCCCUGGUGGAGCUGGCCAUCGGAAGGUACCCCAUCCCCCCGCCCGACGCCAAGGAGCUGGAGGCCAUCUUUGGCCGGCCCGUGGUCGACGGGGAAGAAGGAGAGCCUCACAGCAUCUCGCCUCGGCCGAGGCCCCCCGGGCGCCCCAUCAGCGGUCACGGGAUGGACAGCCGGCCCGCCAUGGCCAUCUUUGAACUGCUGGACUAUAUUGUGAACGAGCCACCUCCUAAGCUGCCCAACGGGGUGUUCACCCCCGACUUCCAGGAGUUUGUCAAUAAAUG